rnacentral:rRNA from 1 species
UACAGAGGUGGCAAGCGUUGUUCGGAAUUACUGGGCGUAAAGCGUGCGCAGGCGGCGCCGCAAGUCGAGUGUGAAAUCCCCGAGCUUAACUUGGGAAUUGCGCUCGAAACUACGAUGCUGGAGUGUGGCAGAGGGAGGUGGAAUUCCACGUGUAGCGGUGAAAUGCGUAGAGAUGUGGAGGAACACCGAUGGCGAAGGCAGCCUCCUGGGCCAACACUGACGCUCAUGCACGAAAGCGUGGGGAGCGAACAGG